AGGGUGUAAACGCUGCAGACUUGGUGUUGGAGGCCCUUUGGGGGCAUUCAGUGCCGGAGAGAAGUUGUUAAGUCUGCUACUUGGGAGUACGUCCGCAAGGAUGAAACUUAAAGGAAUUGGCGGGGGGAGGCACCGCAACGGGAGGAGCGUGCGGUUUAAUUGGAUUCAACACCGUAAAACUCACCAGGAAGACUGUUACAUGAAGGCCGAGAUGAAGACUCUGCUAGAUUUUCAGAGAGGAGGUGCAUGGCGUCAGUGACU
rnacentral:rRNA from 1 species